AGUCGAGCGGUAGAGAGUAGCUUGCUUCUCUUGAGAGCGGCGGACGGGUGAGUAAUGCCUAGGAAUCUGCCUAGUGGUGGGGGAUAACGUUCGGAAACGGACGCUAAUACCGCAUACGUCCUACGGGAGAAAGCGGGGGAUCUUCGGACCUCGCGCCAUUAGAUGAGCCUAGGUCGGAUUAGCUAGUUGGUGAGGUAAUGGCUCACCAAGGCGACGAUCCGUAACUGGUCUGAGAGGAUGAUCAGUCACACUGGAACUGAGACACGGUCCAGACUCCUACGGGAGGCAGCAGUGGGGAAUAUUGGACAAUGGGCGAAAGCCUGAUCCAGCCAUGCCGCGUGUGUGAAGAAGGUCUUCGGAUUGUAAAGCACUUUAAGUUGGGAGGAAGGGUUGUAGAUUAAUACUCUGCAAUUUUGACGUUACCGACAGAAUAAGCACCGGCUAACUUCGUGCCAGCAGCCGCGGUAAUACGAAGGGUGCAAGCGUUAAUCGGAAUUACUGGGCGUAAAGCGCGCGUAGGUGGUUCGUUAAGUUGGAUGUGAAAGCCCCGGGCUCAACCUGGGAAUUGCAUCCAAAACUGGCGAGCUAGAGUACGGUAGAGGGUAGUGGAAUUUCCUGUGUAGCGGUGAAAUGCGUAGAUAUAGGAAGGAACACCAGUGGCGAAGGCGACUACCUGGACUGAUACUGACACCGAGGUGCGAAAGCGUGGGGAGCAAACAGGAUUAGAUACCCUGGUAGUCCACGCCGUAAACGAUGUCAACUAGCCGUUGGAAUCCUUGAGAUUUUAGUGGCGCAGCUAACGCAUUAAGUUGACCGCCUGGGGAGUACGGCCGCAAGGUUAAAACUCAAAUGAAUUGACGGGGACCCGCACAAGCGGUGG
rnacentral:rRNA from 1 species